rnacentral:tRNA from 1 species
UGGGAUAUAGUCCAACGGUUAAGACACGAGAUUUUGAUUCUUGCUAUUGCGGUUCGAUUCCGCAUAUCCCAG